GAGCCCUUUUAAAAAAAGAACACUUUAGGCAUUUUCAUGGAGAUACUACAUAAGUGGAGAAGAAAAAGAAAAUUGAAGCUUAGUGAAUUUAAGAAAUCUAUUCAAGGAAGACUACACAGUUAAUAAUAACAGAGAACGACAAACCUAUCAGGCUUUAGUACAGCCACACCAAUGGCCUCCAAAGAGAAGAAUACAAUCAGAGAAGGUGGAUCAUGGGAAGAAAACAUCAGAACCUUAAAAAAAUAUUUAUUUUUAUCUAAAAACAGAAAAAAACUAAGUCUUGCAAAUAUUUAACGUAGAGAUUGACACUGGCAUCUCACUAUUAAUGAGUGAAAAGUGUGAGUCAUGCAAUGUGGGGAACAAUUCAGGGAUGUCUUCA